rnacentral:tRNA from 1 species
GCCCGGGUGGUGAAAUUGGUAGACACACAGGACUUAAAAUCCUGCGGCCUAACGGCUAUGCCGGUUCGAUUCCGGCUCUGGGCACCA